CUCAGAGUGAACGCUAGCGGUGCGCCUAACACAUGCAAGUCGAGUGGGUUUAGACCCACGGCGAACGGCUGAGUAACACGUUGGAACCUGCCCCGGACUCAGGGAUAACCCACCGAAAGGUGGGCUAAUACCGGAUGGUCCCGCAAGGGUAAAGCUUUUGCGGUCCGGGAGGGGCCUGCGGCCUAUCAGCUAGUUGGUAAGGUAAUGGCUUACCAAGGCUAUGACGGGUAGCUGGUCUGAGAGGACGACCAGCCAGAAUGGGACUGAGACACGGCCCAUACUCC
rnacentral:rRNA from 1 species